CGCUUCCUUGAUCGAGUGGCGAACGGGUGAGUAACACGUAUCCAACCUGCCUCAUACUCGGGGAUAGCCUUUCGAAAGAAAGAUUAAUAUCCGAUAGCAUAUAUUUCCCGCAUGGGUUUUAUAUUAAAGAAAUUCGGUAUGAGAUGGGGAUGCGUUCCAUUAGUUUGUUGGGGGGGUAACGGCCCACCAAGACUACGAUGGAUAGGGGUUCUGAGAGGAAGGUCCCCCACAUUGGAACUGAGACACGGUCCAA
rnacentral:rRNA from 1 species